rnacentral:rRNA from 1 species
CAGUCGCCGCGGGAAUACGUAGGUCCCGAGCGUUGUCCGGAAUUACUGGGCGUAAAGCGUGCGCAGGCGGUUUCUUAAGUCUGAUGUGAGAGCCCCCGGCUCAACCGGGGAGGGUCAUUGGAAACUGGGGAACUUGAGUGCAGAAGAGGAGAGUGGAAUUCCACGUGUAGCGGUGAAAUGCGUAGAGAUGUGGAGGGACACCAGUGGCGAAGGCGGCUCUCUGGUCUGUAACUGACGCUGAGGAGCGAAAGCGUGGGGAGCGAGCAGGAUUAGAUACCCCAGUAGUCCCUGUCUCUUAUAC